UAAUUUAAGGGUUUCCGCUCCACCGCUUUCACCAGAUUCUCGAUUGUUCUUCACCCUCUCAUAUUCUCUUCAUUCUUCCUUUUGGGAUAGUCACGUUUAGUCCACCGCCUUACGAUCCAACCAGUCGAUCUGCUUCUUCUUGAUCCUUCAUAACCGCCUUCGCAUCAAGUUAGCCUUUCCUUGCAUCUGUGUUUCUAUUUGUUAGCUAUGCACCUCCGCCACCCUUUUCACUUUUGGUCCAGACCACUGAAGAGGACUUUGGAGCAGGUAAGCUUCCUCCCAACGGAUACAUGACGAGAAAGUCUCAUUUUUUCCUCUCUCGCAUCUUCUACACUUUCUCUUCUUCCCACAACUUCUUUUUUAUUAAAUUAACUGAGUUGGGUUUCUUCCACACAACAAGACCGCCAUGAACGAUCGACCCUUUCGAGGAAUUGUCUUCAUGUGUGCCACAAUCUGGAUUUUCAGGCUUCUGCUGAAGCCUUCGCUGGUAAGAUUUUCCAUAUGAAGGGUUGAUUCAUAGAAGGUUGUCGCUUCUUCCCUAUUUUUCUUGAGUUUUCAUCUAUGAUCCUUGAUUUUCAGUUGUUGAUUCCUUCAAUCAGGUGAAUCUUCUCUAUGACAGCUUAGUUGAGUUCUGUACACCAGAGAUUUGGCCGACUGUUUUUUUUUUUAAUAUUUUCAUUAUAUCUCCACAUAUGAUGCUUUAUGAUGUCUAAGAAUCAGUUUUUUUUCCCAAGGUAAUAUCACAUUUUUCUUGAAUUUCUUUGGUUUCUUGCACACAAGUUGUUUUGAUGCAUUGUCUGUAUGUGUAUUCUAAUGCAACCGUCGUAUGAGCGCCAUGAAUGAAACUCCCAAGUAGAAAUUGCACAGACUCACUCUUCCUAACGGUCUCUGUGUUGCCACCGAGUCUAAUCUAGCCUCCCAGACGGCUGCCGUUGGGGUAUGGAUUGAUGCAGGGUCAUAAUUUCAGAUGGAAGGGAACAAUGGGGUUGCUCAGAUAUAUUGCAUUGCAGAACUCGAGUUUUGAUGAGACAUUGAUCAAUCGUGAGCGUGGUAUUAUUCUACAUAAGACGGAAGAGAUGAGAGCACAAACAGAAGAAGUAAUCUUUGAUCAUUUGCAUUCUACUGCUUUCCAAUACACCCCCCCCCCUUGGAAGGACCAUUCUUGGACCUACUGAAAACAUCCAGAAGAUAACUUAAGAUUACAUUUCAACCCACUAUGAAGCUCACAGAAUGGUAAUUUUAGCUUCUGGGACUAUUAAACAUGUGAAGCGAUUAAGGAGCGAAACAUGAUUUGGGAGUAUAUGCUUACACUGUCCGGUGGUAAUGGAAAGAUAGACAAAGACCGAACUUUCUUAGAUGGAGAAGAAUUGUUGGCUACAAAGAAUUUAUGACACAAUCAUGGAGAUGAGGUACCAUAAUACAUGGUCUUAAAGACAUGAGGAACCAAGAUUUACAACCGAUGAUUGCAAACAGGGAAUGAACAAAAAAAAUCACUGGCGGUAAAUAAAGUACUUGGAGCUGAUGACACAAAUGUUCAAAAAGUUACACUUGCCAAGGCUAUCUCUAGCAGCGGUCAGCAAAACAAAAGGCUUGGUUUUAAUUUUGGAUUUAUGUUUUAAUUGAACUGGGGAUUUAAUUCAAAUUACAAGUGACCAUAUCGACCCUCUCUGCAGCCGGUACUUCAAGGAACUAAAAGUGUCGGGGAAUGGUGCAUCAACAUUGUUGCACAUAGCGUUUCAUGAAUGUGAAUCAUAUGGGGGCCAACUACUAUAAGAGGGUUGAUCAAGGAAAAUCUCCAAGGACUGUCAUUUGGAUCAUUUCAUUGGUGUUGAGUGGUGGAGCAUAUCAUAUCUGCAAAUAUAGAUUACUGGAAUUCUUUAAAUUGAAAUUUUGAUGGGUUUCACCAUACCUAGAGGAGGGUAGAAGAAAUUCAGUUCCUUACUUCAAUUUUUUUUCUUCUGUGCCAAUAAGGAUCAGGUUGCUGUCCACCGCUUCUUCUUACUCUCUUCCGAUUAAAAAUCCCUAAAACCACCGCACUUCCCCAUUUCUUCUCCUCACCGUCGAUCCGCACUCAGUCUCCUCUGUCUUUUCCAGCCCUAAAUUUGUUGACGGAAUAUCUGUCGAUUUUAUAGAUCGUUCUUCCUUCGAAGUCGACACAUAAAUCCGUUUUCCCUCUUAUCCCAUCAAAUAUCUCUCUCCGUCGAUUAUCUAUUGAUUUUUGCUUCGUAGAUGAAAAUACAAAUCAAUUUACCAAUGGUUGAUUGACAAGUGGGCGCUCCCUUCGCCAGCCUACUAGCGACGUCUACCAUGUUCACGUGAAUGUAUUAUGCUUCCAAGAACAUCGGCCAUUGAGUUUCCCCCCCAAAAUUAAUCAAACCUCACUAUCCAGUUUUUUCUUUCGUACCUUUCUACCUUGAUAAUCGAUUCGUAAGCCCUAAUCGGUUGAACUCUUUCUCCGAUUUGAAGUUCGUGAAUUUUAGAGUAAACUAUGAAGUAUGAACUAUUGAGAGGUGGCAAAGUGAAACAUAUAUAUUCGUUGGUGUAAUAGAAGUACAUGAGACCCAGGCGUGAUUGGAUUGACAAGGGGUUGAGGUGGAUCUGAAAUGAGGUUAAGGUAAGUAAAGUUCUGUUAAGUGGGAAAGGCGGAGCCUAUGUUUAAAGGAGGAGACCGAGAUAGACAUGUCGUUUUCUCUCUCAUUGGCAUGUUUUUGCCAUUUCAUACUCGUUGAGUUGGACAACGCGAGAUGGAACUCGACAAUUUGAGUGGAGCUCGACACCUCUCCUCCAAGGACUUAUGGUUAUGAUUUAUGGAAUGUUUGACAUUUAUAAGAGUAUGUAACCGUUUGUAGUUUUAAUUACUGAUUUUUGAUCAAACCAUCAUAAUGAUUUGAUGUUGUUUUUAA